rnacentral:rRNA from 1 species
GACGAACGCUGGCGGCGCGCCUAAUACAUGCAAGUCGAACGAGUACGCACUUCGGUGCAAUGUACGAGUGGCGAACGGGUGAGUAACACGUGAGAAACCUGCCUCGGAGACCGGGACAACCAUUGGAAACGAUGGCUAAUACCGGAUGUCCUUACUUGAUCGCAUGAUCGUGUAAGGAAAUGAUCCGUCGCUCCGGGAGGGUCUCGCGGCCUAUCAGCUAGUUGGUGAGGUAACGGCUCACCAAGGCAUCGACGGGUAGCUGGUCUGAGAGGACGAUCAGCCACACUGGGACUGAGACACGGCCCAG